rnacentral:rRNA from 1 species
GUAUACCGCAUGAGGUCAGCUGAAGACUUUACCCAAUGAUGUAAGUGGUGGUGCAUGGUCGUUCGUGGUUCGUGGAUUGAUUCGUCUGGUUAAUUCCGAUAACGAGCGAGACCCUAUCGUUCCUAAUAUGGGGCUAUAGCCCAACCGGUCGAAAGGCCGGUUAGCUACAGCUUAAGAUCAGCUUCUUAGACGUAUCAGAGCCGAUAAGGUUCUUGAAAUGGGUUAAUAACAGGUUGACAAGACUGGCCUGUAACAGUCAUCGUAUGCUGGCUAGUGAAGACCCCAUUGGGCCGGUAACCCAAUGGGCCUUUGCGACACCCUCAAAUUGCGGGGACACCCUAAAGGCUAACCUACCAACCAUGCGUCUAAAGACGGAAAAAACAAGGGCAUUGACUCCCUAACGGGACGAGCCGCUUGCAUGGGGCCAAGCUAACUACUUGGGUACGGUAAAAACGGUUAGUAUAGAGACCUUCGGGUCGACAAUGGGUAAUCCGCAGCCAAGCCCUACUGUAGGCAAACGGGUACCCCCCGUUUCCUGCUACGGGUGCAGUUCACAGACUAAACGUGGGUGGGGUCACUGGGAUGGUCGUUCCGAACCAAUAAGGACGACCGGAGUGACCCUAAGAUAUAGUCGGGCGGUUAGUGAAAGCUAACCGGGAAAAGGCAGUCAUGCCCUUAGAUGUUCUGGGCCGCACGCGCGUUACAAUGGCAUGUAAAACGAGUGCUUACUGGUAAGCUUACCGUGGUUGAGAGGCAACGGCAAUCCAUAAUCCCUACCUUGACUGGGAUAGAUCAUUGCAAUUAUUGGUCUUUAACGAGGAAUUUUUAGUAAUAGCCAGGUCAUUAACCUGCGCUGAAUGCGUCCCUGCCCUUUGUACACACCGCCCGUCGUGCC